rnacentral:rRNA from 1 species
GACGAACGCUGGCGGCGUGCUUAACACAUGCAAGUCGAACGGAAAGGCCCUGCUUUUGUGGGGUGCUCGAGUGGCGAACGGGUGAGUAACACGUGAGUAACCUGUCCUUGACUUUGGGAUAACUUCAGGAAACUGGGGCUAAUACCGGAUAGGAGCUCCUGCUGCAUGGUGGGGGUUGGAAAGUUUCGGCGGUUGGGGAUGGACUCGCGGCUUAUCAGCUUGUUGGGGGGGUAGUGGCUUACCAAGGCUUUGACGGGUAGCCGGCCUGAGAGGGUGAACGGCCCCAUUGGGACUGAGAUACGGCCCAGACUCCUACGGGAGGCAGCAGUGGGGAGUAUUGCACAAUGGGCGGAAGCCUGAUGCAGCAACGCCGCGUGCGGGAUGACGGCCUUCGGGUUGUAAACCGCUUUCGCCUGUGACGAAGCGUGAGUGACGGUAAUGGGUAAAGAAGCACCGGCUAACUACGUG